CUCGAACUCCUGGACUCAAGGAUCCAUAUGCCUCCCAAAGUUUUGGGAUUAGAGGCAUGAGCCACCACACCCGGCCCUCAACACUUUAUUCCACAGUAGGCUUUGUGUUAGAUGAUUUUGCCCAACUAUAGACUAAUAUAAGUGUUCUGAGCAUUUUAAGGUAAGCGAGGCUAAGCUAUGAUGUUUGGUAGGUUAGGUAUAGUAAAUGCAUUUUCUACUUAUGAUAUUUUUCAACUUACAAUGGGUUUAGUGGGAUGUAACCCCAUCACAAGUAGAGGAGCAUCUGUAUAUGAGUCACCUGGCCAUGGGCAUCUUCUUAAAAUACGGCUCUGAAACUGUAGGUCUAGGGUGGGGCCUGAGAUCCUGCAUUUCUAACAAGCUUUCAGGGAUGUCCAAGCUGCUGGCACACAGGCCAGUCUUUCAGAAGCAAGUCUCCUAGGGGACAGUGGAGCUGGAGAAUGAAAGGAACACAGGGCUCUGAAUCACUGCACAAGAAAAGCCACCUCUUCAACCAGCAACUUCUGACCUGUCACCUGAGUGAGGAAUAAGCUUUUUGGGGGCGUUGAAGGGUGAGGGUUAUUUGUCACAGCAGCUAGUCUUCUAGAAGUAGUUCAAAUGAUUCACUGCUGCUCUUUUCAAUAUCUUGGCAGGGUAAUUCAGGACAAAAUCAUCCCCGCUGCCCCUUCCCCUUAGCGAGGCUGUGUGUUCCAGAUGACUGCUUUAUGUUUUAAGCAAACAUUCAUGGUGUGGAGGCCGAGCCCAUCUAAGGAAUCCUGACCAGCUGGACACCAUGUACCUGAAUUCAGCCAAGGAUAUUAGUGGAAAGUUUUUCCCUUCGUUUGUGCAAGGAAAGCUAGAACAAGAAGGCCUGCCCUGUCAUUGUAGCUCUGCUCCUGCCCUUGCCUUCCCAAAAUAAGAGCCAGGGCCAGGCCUCCUCAAGCCCUGCUGGCUUCAGAGGCUGGGCCUGAGCAUGAGGAGGAGAAAGUCCAGGGGAAAGAGUUAUUGGACUUAUUUUGGAUAAAGCACCUGAAGGAGUCCCAGAAGCUUAGCUUUAAUCCCAAGGGAUGCUCAAAUAACAAUAUCAGGCUCCUGUGUCAGAACUUUGUGGACACAGGUGCAAGCAAACCUGAGGAAAAUCACAAAUUGCCCACUCUGACUCAUCAGAGCUGCUUGCCAGGCUGAAAGCCAUUCCUACUCAGUGAUAUGGUUUGGUUGUGUCCCUACCCAAAUCUCACCUUGAAUUAUAACUCCCACAAUUCCCACAUGUCAUGGGAGGAACCCUGUGGGAGGUGAUUGAAUCAUGGGAUAGGGUCUUUCCUUUGCUGUUCUUGUGAUAGUGAAUAAGUCUCAUGAGAUCUGAUGGUUUUAAAAAUGGGAGUUUCCCUGUACAAGCUCUUUUUGCUUGCUGCCAUCCAUGUAAGACAUGACUUGUUCCUCCUUGCCUUCCACCAUGAUUGUGAGGCCUCCACAGCCACGUGGAACUUUAAGUCCAUUAAACCCUUUUUCCUGUAUAAAUUACCCAGUCUCAGGUAUGUCUUUAUCAGCAGUGUGAAAACGGACUAAUACACUCAGGGAAAUGAUGUUGGAUUUAGAGAAGAGACCAGUUCUAAAAAAAUUAUUCAACCUUCAGCAAGCAUUCACUGAGAACCUAUUCUACGGUAGGCAUAGCAAAUAUUAAUUCCACAGACAUAAAAUCAACUUUCAAUCCACACCUUGGUGUUGGAGAAAACGUCUGAGAACUUGGAAAGUGAGGGUUGUGAGUUGGUGUACUGAUGACACCUGUCCAGGAAGGUUCAUCACAGAAUUGUAGAUGUACCAGUGAGGCCUCCUGAGCCCUCCCAGAAAGGCUCAUGCCUGCCCCAAGACAGAAGUUCAGGAAGGCUGAGCUUGGUGUCUCCAGCCUCCAGGGCUCGGGAGCCUGGACACAGCACAGGACACAGAGGAUGGAGAGUAAGGAGAGGAGGAACUGAGGCCAGGGGAGAAAAGUGGGGUAGGGAGCACAAUGGUGGUCUCCACAAGGCCCGUCCCCUCUGAAGUCUCUACUCCAUUGCCAGAGUGUUAUUUACAAGAAACCCACAUCACAUCAGGUUGUUCUGCCCAAUUAGAACCCAUCAGCAGUCUCCUGCUGCCUUUUGAAUGGAGGCCCACAUACUGGCCAAGGCCGAUUAGGCCCUGUGUGAUCUGGAUUCUGCGGCUCCCAGCCUCCUGCUGGUGACUUCUUUCUCAUCCUCUGUGCCUGAGGCAACUGGCUUCUGUCGGGGCCUCAGAUUUGCUAGCCUGAUCACUACACCAUUCCUUCUUGGGUAAUCAAGCCCUGCGGUUGGCCCGCGCCUGGGAGGUUUGCUGGAAUGUGGAUUUUUAGUUUGAAAAUCAGGACGGUCACUGGCUAAUGGGUGAGUUGAUCAUCCUGGUUCCCUCAGGCCCUGACUCUCCCCCAGACGCUUCUGUUCCACAG
rnacentral:lncRNA from 1 species